CUGGUGAAUUUUCCUCUUUGGGUUAUACCUCUCAUGAUACUCAAAAUAAGUUUUCCAUAUAUAUAGGUAUCCUGUUGGAGGUUAUAGGUAUUAUAUUGGAGACCUAUUUUGGAUUUGGAUCUCCCGAUAAGUCUCCUGUUGGAGAAUAGUGCAUUACUCCACACAAUUUCCUUUAUAGUACACUUGUUGGCAUGCAAGAUCACAUGCACACCGCUGCCUGUGCAUGAUCGGCAUUUUGGGACUAUCGCUACCCAAUCUUUUUUAAUGUUUUGGUACACCUUUAGAUCUUGGUCGAUUAAUCCUCUCUCUGAGAUGAUUACUAGAGAUUUGACUUGUAAGAGAUUUUCUACAAACCUUUAGGAUCUAGGUGUGGUCAAUCUCCUCUUCGUUUGGAUCCUUAGAAUUAAAUCAUUCUAAUAAAUUAUAAUUUAGAAACAUAUUAAUUAAGCUAGUAUGGUUAUAUAUGGAAUAUAUUUAUUGUUAGCAAUGAAAGGGAGAUGCUUAUAUAUUGUAUUUCUUCUAUGAGAAAGCGAGUUGAAGAGCAUGCUAUAUAAUUUAAAGAGUAGAAACAUAGCAUGGUAAUCUAUAUAAUUAUUUUUUAUCUUUCACCUAAUAAAUUUACGGUAAAUCUGUAUGUUGCAUGGGCAUUUUUUUCUUUUUUGUCACCCAGAUUUGUGGCCAUUGGAUCCAUCUCUCAUUUGAUCUAGUCCUUCCUUUCUUCUUUGCUUCUAUGCUAGAAAUCCACUUUGUUUAUUGUCUAUAUUUCAAGUAAAAUGUAGAUUAGUGUCCAUGCUCAGCGUUUACUGCUACAUGAAAUUAUCUAGUUAGCAUGUUUUUCUUGUUCAUGUGUUAUUUUAAUUCAUGUCUUUCUCUUACAGUCUCAUAUUGUAAUUUUUACAUUGAUUAUGUCAGUGUAAAUUUUUUUAUUAUUGUUGUAAAUAUGGUUUUUUAUCUGCUCUCUGAAAUUUGUAUUUUUGAUAUAUUUUCAAUUUGAAUUUCAUCCAAUUUGCCUUCCAUGAAUUAAUUUGUCUCUGUAAUUUGUGUUUUUGAUAUGUUUUCAAUUUAACUUUCUUCUAAUUUGCCUUCCAUAGAAUUAAUUUGUCUUUGCAAUUUGUGUUUUUAUUUUCUUCAAUUUGAAUUUCUUCCAAUUUACUUCCAUAGAAUUAAUUUGUUUUUUAUUUGGAUCCUUUGUCUUUUAUAUGGUCUGUUAGAUGUAGAUAUCGUGGUUUUCAAAUUCAGGUGUUUGAUUUCCACGUGUCACCUGUUUUGUAAUUGAUGCGAGAAUCGAACAUUUUAAUUGUUUUUGUCACCCGAGUGACAAGAGCCU
rnacentral:lncRNA from 1 species